rnacentral:snRNA from 1 species
GGAAUAUGUGAGGAUGAUCGCUUGCGACAUCUGUCACCCCAUUGAUCGCCAGGGCUGAUUCGGCUGAUCUGGCUGGCUAGAAGGGUGUCUUCCUCACCACUCCAUUUACUUCCCUCCCUAAGCUGUGCACUUGGUCAAAGAGGAUGACCAUCCCCAACUGAAGGAGGUCCAGUCAUCAAUUCUCUGCUAGAACCUCCAAACAAGCCCAAGUAAUAUGUGUGUGUGUGUUAGCAUAAAUAUAAUUAUGGUCUUUAGUGAUAAAUUGUGUCCUUUGAA